CUUUUCUGGCGCCGUGACGCCUUUUGUGACGCCAUGACGCCUUUUCUGACGCCGUGACGCCUUUUGUGACGGCAAGACUUUGAGGAGGCUCCCGUCAGACCUCCGGAACCCACCGCGUCUAUCCCUCUGGCCAAGAGUUGAGGACAGCCCGGGGCCACGCCAAGGGCUUUCUAGAACAAAGCAAGGUGGCAUGGGCAGGGAAAGAGUAGGGCCCCAGAGUCAGCGCAUCAGCAGCGCCCAGCCUUCCUUCUCUGUCGCCCACCCCGCUGCCCGGAUUCCUGCAGGGACCCUGGACCCCGGUUCUCUGGGAAGACUAAGAAGGGAAGGUAGCCGUCGGUUUCUCUUCAGCCCCCGCCGAAGUGUUUCUGUGGUUUCUGUUUCUCAAGAGAACCUUCAAAAGAAUCCACGGCUCCAUCUUGGGAGGACUUAGCUAUUCAGAAGCGUCUCAUCUGAGUGGAUGACAGCUGCCCUUUGAUGAGGUGAUAAAAGCCUUGCUCAAGGAGAUAAAAGUCUCGAUUUCUCUGGAACUGACAUCCGGAAGAGCACUGGCUUUCGUCCAAGAAAAAUCAUCCCUAACAUGUAAUCUCUAGGCUUUCAAAAGCUAACCCAAAAAUGUGACAACAAAUUAAGCUCCGAGUAAAGAGCGGGCAUAAAUUG